rnacentral:misc_RNA from 1 species
UUUCCGUAGGUGAACCUGCGGAAGGAUCAUUAACGCGCCGUGGGGGGUCGGGCCCUAACCGGGUUCUGGCCCCCUCACCUGGCCACCCUUGUCUAUUUUACCUGUUGCUUCGGCGGGCCUGCAGCAAUGCUGCCGGGGGAGCUUGUCUCCCCGGGCUCGUGCCCGCCGGGGACACCUUUGAACUUCUGGUUAAAGAUUGACGUCUGAGACUAUAACUAUAAUCAGUUAAAACUUUCAACAACGGAUCUCUUGGUUCCG